rnacentral:miRNA from 1 species
CUUACCAGGUUGUAUUGUAAUU